rnacentral:rRNA from 1 species
UACGAAGGGGGCUAGCGUUGCUCGGAAUUACUGGGCGUAAAGGGCGCGUAGGCGGACAGUUUAGUCAGAGGUGAAAGCCCGAGGCUCAACCUCGGAACUGCCUUCGAUACUGCGGGUCUCGAGUCCGGGAGAGGUGAGUGGAAUUCCUAGUGUAGAGGUGAAAUUCGUAGAUAUUAGGAAGAACACCAAUGGCGAAGGCGGCUCACUGGCCCGGUACUGACGCUGAGGCGCGAAAGCGUGGGGAGCAAACAGG